rnacentral:rRNA from 1 species
GGGGGGGGGGGGGGGGGGGGGGGGGGGGGGGGGGGGGGGGGGGGGGGGGGGGGGGGGGGGGGGUGCGGGGGUGGGGCGGGGGUGGGUGGCGCGUGGGGACCCUGCCCUGGGGGUUGGGGUGGCUGCCGGAGACUGGGGCUAAGGCCGGAUAGGAGCUCCUGCUGCAUGGUGGGGGUUGGAACGUUUCGGCGGCUGGGGAUGGAGUGGCGGCUUAUCGGCUUGUUGGUGGGUUAGUGGAGUACCAAGGCUUUGACGGGUCGCCGGCCUGAGAGGGUGACCGGCCACAUUGGGACUGAGAUACGGCCCAGACUCCUACGGGAGGCAGCAGUGGGGAAUAUUGCACAACGGGCGGAAGCCUGAGGCAGCAACGCCGGGUUCGGGAUGACGGCCUUCGGGUUGUAAACCGCUUUCGCCUGUGACGAACCGUGAGUGACGGUAAUUGGUAAAGAAGCACCGGCUAACUACGUG